UCAGUCAUCGCUCACAAUGUGUUGCCUAGC
rnacentral:piRNA from 1 species